CAUUCACCUGGUUUCUAUUAUUAUCAUAUGCAGCUAUUUGUAGUAAAGAGCAGAGCAUAUUUGUUUGCUGAAAAACAACCACAUGGGAAGAAGACUGACACUUGCCAGGCUCUGCAAAUGAAAACUGGGAACCUAAACACUGGGUCCUGAUAUCAAGUGUUUGAUAGAAAAAUACAAGGCUUGUUGGAAAUGCAUUCCUGGCAUUGUAAUAGGUAGACAGAAAACCCCAAAGACA